UUACCGCUAGUGCCAAUUACACUUAAUUGUAAAUAUUUACAAGAAUUUGAGUGGUAACUAAAAUUACGCUAAGCAGACGGUAUUGAUAUUAUGAUAAAGGUGAGGGGGGAACAUGAACUAAAAUUAAAAAUACCCUAUUAAAAAUUAAAAUAACCCAAUUAAAAAAGAAAAUGACCCUAAAAACAUUCAUGUACACAAAUUGCACGAGUCAAUCGGAGACAAAGCGCGAUUCGAGGUGCAUUUAAAGGUGAAUUUCAUUUCGUUGACAUCUGCAUUUCAGUUCGCUCGUUUUCUCUGCUCCAUUUAUUUGAAACGUGAGACGCUCAACUCUGGGAACAACAGAAACAUCCUCCCAUUUCUCGAAAUACGCGUCGUCGUCAUUCGAUCCAUUAUUCUUAUUAAUCCACUUCUCCCAACAAAAUUAAGCUCAACAACUAAAUGGCUGACGGCGAGGAUAUUCAACCCCUUGUUUGUGACAAUGGAACAGGAAUGGUCAAGGCUGGAUUUGCUGGAGAUGAUGCUCCGAGAGCCGUGUUCCCUAGCAUUAUCGGUCGCCCACGUCACACAGGUGUAAUGGUUGGAAUGGGGCAGAAAGAUGCAUAUGUUGGGGACGAGGCCCAGUCGAAGAGGGGUAUUCUCUCUCUCAAGUACCCAAUUGAACAUGGUAUUGUUAACAAUUGGGAUGACAUGGAGAAGAUUUGGCAUCACACUUUCUAUAACGAACUCCGUGUUGCUCCGGAGGAGCAUCCAGUUCUUCUCACUGAAGCACCUCUCAACCCCAAGGCUAAUCGUGAAAAGAUGACUCAGAUCAUGUUCGAGACUUUCAAUCCCCCGCUGUGUAUGUUGCUAUCCAGGCUGUUCUCUCCCUCUAUGCCAGUGGUCGUACUACUGGUAUUGUGAUGGACUCAGGUGAUGGUGUGAGCCACACAGUUCCGAUUUACGAAGGGUACUCUCUCCCCCAUGCUAUUCUCCGUCUCGACCUUGCUGGGCGUGACCUCACGGACCAGCUGGCGAAAAUCCUCACCGAGCGUGGGUACAGUUUCACCACCUCAGCUGAGAAGGAAAUUGUGAGGGACAUGAAAGAGAAGCUGGCGUACAUUGCCCUCGAUUUCGAGCAAGAAAUGGAGACUGCAAAGACAAGCUCUGGCGUCGAGAAGAACUUUGAACUGCCAGACGGACAGGUCAUCACUAUCGGAAACGAGCGUUUCCGUUGCCCUGAGGUCCUCUUCCAGCCGUCUAUGAUCGGAAUGGAAGCUGCUGGUAUACACGAGACCACGUACAACUCGAUCAUGAAAUGUGACGUGGAUAUUAGGAAGGAUCUGUAUGGCAACAUUGUACUCAGUGGUGGGUCCACCAUGUUUGCUGGCAUUGCUGAUAGAAUGAGCAAGGAGAUCACUGCAUUGGCUCCUAGCAGCAUGAAGAUUAAGGUGGUGGCUCCGCCUGAGAGGAAGUACAGUGUUUGGAUUGGUGGUUCUAUCUUAGCCUCCCUCAGUACCUUCCAGCAGAUGUGGAUAGCGAAGUCCGAGUACGAUGAAUCUGGACCGUCGAUUGUUCAUAGGAAAUGUUUCUAAGCAGAAGCAUUUUUGUCAGUAUCCUAAUUAUUGCUCAGCUCUGGGAUGAGAAUGCUACCUCUAGUACUACCACCGGUUCUGUGAUUUUCCGACUAUAGAAUUUUUUUUAUCUAUUCGUUCGUUGGUUUUCGUGUCUGCAGCGAAAUUAAGCAGUGUUGUCUGUGUUUGUUCUUUUGUUUUGUUUUUCCCUUCAAGGAUUUCUUGCAUACUUGAGUUUGUUUUGCUAAUAAAGUAUAAGUAGAUCGUAUUUUA